GAUGAACGCUGCGGCGUGCCUAAUACAUGCAAGUCGAGUGAAUGGAUUAAGAGCUUGCUCUUAUGAAGUUAGCGGCGGACGGGUGAGUAACACGUGGGUAACCUGCCCAUAAGACUGGGAUAACUCCGGGAAACCGGGGCUAAUACCGGAUAAUAUUUUGAACUGCAUGGUUCAAAAUUGAAAGGCGGCUUCGGCUGUCACUUAUGGAUGGACCCGCGUCGCAUUAGCUAGUUGGUGAGGUAACGGCUCACCAAGGCAACGAUGCGUAGCCGACCUGAGAGGGUGAUCGGCCACACUGGGACUGAGACACGGCCCAGACUCCUACGGGAGGCAGCAGUAGGGAAUCUUCCGCAAUGGACGAAAGUCUGACGGAGCAACGCCGCGUGAGUGAUGAAGGCUUUCGGGUCGUAAAACUCUGUUGUUAGGGAAGAACAAGUGCUAGUUGAAUAAGCUGGCACCUUGACGGUACCUAACCAGAAAGCCACGGCUAACUACGUGCCAGCCGCCGCCGUAA
rnacentral:rRNA from 1 species